ACCCGGCUAGCUCAGUUGGUAGAGCAUGAUACUCUUAAUCUCAGGGUUGUGGUUUCGAGCACCAUGUUGGGUG